AUACGGAGGAUCCGAGCGUUAUCCGGAUUUAUUGGGUUUAAAGGGUGCGCAGGCGGCCAUUUAAGUCAGCGGUUAAAUCGUGGGGCUCAACCCCAUUCUGCCGUUGAUACUGGGUGGCUUGAUUGCGGUCGAGGUUGGCGGAAUUCGUUGUGUAGCGGUGAAAUGCAUAGAUAUGACGAAGAACACCGAUUGCGUAGGCAGCUGACCAGACCGCAAAUGACGCUCAUGCACGAAAGUGCGGGGAUCGAACAGGAUUAGAUACCCUGGUAGUCCGCACAGUAAACGAUGAAUACUUGUCUUCGGCGAUAUAAUGUCGGAGGCAAAGCGAAAGCGAUAAGUAUUCCACCUGGGGAGUACGCCGGCAACGGUGAAACUUAAAGGAAUUGACGGGG
rnacentral:rRNA from 1 species